GAUAGUUUGGCCGAGUGGUCUAAGGCGCUAGAUUUAGGCUCUGGUCCGAAAGGGCGGUGGGUUCAAAUCCCACAGCUGACA
rnacentral:tRNA from 1 species